rnacentral:rRNA from 1 species
AUUGAACGCUGGCGGCAGGCCUAACACAUGCAAGUCGAACGAGCGGCGGACGGGUGAGUAAUGUCUGGGAAACUGCCUGAUGGAGGGGGCUAACUACUGGAAACGGUAGCUAAUACCGCAUACCAUCAGAUGUGCCCAGAUGGGAUUAGCUUGUUGGUGGGGUAACGGCUCACCAAGGCGACGAUCCCUAGCUGGUCUGAGAGGAUGACCAGCCACACUGGAACUGAGACACGGCCCAGACUCAUACGGGAGGCAGCAGUGGGGAAGAUUGCACAAUGGGCGCAAGCCUGAUGCAGCCAUGCCGCGUGUAUGAAGAAGGCCUUAGGGUUGUAAAGUACUUUCAGCGGGGAGGCGUUACCCGCAGAAGAAGCACCGGCUAACUCCGUGCUAGCAGCCGCGGUAAUUC